UACGUAGGGGGCAAGCGUUGUCCGGAUUUAUUGGGCGUAAAGAGCGUGUAGGCGGCUUUGCAAGUCCGUUGUGAAAACUCGAGGCUCAACCUCGAGACGCCGGUGGAAACUGCAAAGCUAGAGUCCGGAAGAGGAGAGUGGAAUUCCUGGUGUAGCGGUGAAAUGCGCAGAUAUCGGGAGGAACACCGGUGGCGAAGGCGGUUCUCUGGGCCUUACCUGACGCUGAGGAGCGAAAGCGUGGGGAGCGAACAGG
rnacentral:rRNA from 1 species